UGGUGGGUAGUUUGACUGGGGCGGUCUCCUCCCAAAGAGUAACGGAGGAGCACGAAGGUUGGCUAAUCCUGGUCGGACAUCAGGAGGUUAGUGCAAUGGCAUAAGCCAGCUUGACUGCGAGCGUGACGGCGCGAGCAGGUGCGAAAGCAGGUCAUAGUGAUCCGGUGGUUCUGAAUGGAAGGGCCAUCGCUCAACGGAUAAAAGGUACUCCGGGGAUAACAGGCUGAUACCGCCCAAGAGUUCAUAUCGACGGCGGUGUUUGGCACCUCGAUGUCGGCUCAUCACAUCCUGGGGCUGAAGUAGGUCCCAAGGGUAUGGCUGUUCGCCAUUUAAAGUGGUACGCGAGCUGGGUUUAGAACGUCGUGAGACAGUUCGGUCCCUAUCUGCCGUGGGCGCUGGAGAAUUGAGGGGGGCUGCUCCUAGUACGAGAGGACCGGAGUGGACGCAUCACUGGUGUUCGGGUUGUCAUGCCAAUGGCACUGCCCGGUAGCUAAAUGCGGAAGAGAUAAGUGCUGAAAGCAUCUAAGCACGAAACUUGCCCCGAGAUGAGUUCUCCCUGAGACUUU
rnacentral:rRNA from 1 species